rnacentral:snRNA from 1 species
GGAUGUGAGGGUGAUCUGGUUGUGACAGCUGUCAUCCCACUGAUUGCCAGGGUUGAUUCAGCUGAUCUGGCUGGCUAGGAGGGUGUCCCCUUCCUCCCUAACUACUCCGCGUGCAUCCCUCCUGAGGCUGCAUGUUUGGUCAAAGAGGACAACCAUCCCCAAGAGAGGAGGACUGGUCUUCCGUCAAGGGUACACAGGUAGGCGUGCUUCCCUGCUAGAACCUCCAAACAAACUCUCAAGGUGCAAAAUGCAUUUCAGCUCAAAUAGUCAAUGCAUUCUUUCAACAUUAGUGAAUCAUU